AGUCACUGACAUUAGAUACCCCCGUAGUCCAGGGUGUAAACGCUGCAGACUUGGUGUUGGGAACCCUUCGGGGGUGUCCAGUGCCGGAGAGAAGUUGUUAAGUCUGCUACUUGGGGAGUACGUCCGCAAGGAUGAAACUUAAAGGAAUUGGCGGGGGAGCACCGCAACGGGAGGAGCGUGCGGUUUAAUUGGAUUCAACACCGGAAAACUCACCAGUGAAGACUGUUACAUGAAAGCCAGGCUGAUGACCUUGCUAGAUUUUCAG
rnacentral:rRNA from 1 species